GGGGCAUUAGCUCAGCUGGCUAGAGCGCUACGCUGGCAGCGUAGAGGUCAUCAGUUCGACUCUGAUAUGCUCCACCU
rnacentral:tRNA from 2 species